UGAAGGGGGUUGGGCAAUAAAUCAAUGUCUUUUAUGUAGCAGUGGUGCUAAUAAAAUGAGGAUUCCUCCACGAAGCUCAACAAGAAUCCACCGUGGCUCCCGAAGUGGAUGAGCUGCUCGUUGAAGAACCAGGUGAACUUGAGUUCCAGAGACGGGUCGUGGCUCACUUGGCAGGGCAGGACCACGCUCUCCCCGACGGUGACGUCCAGCGUGGAGGCCAGCGUGGUGAUGACGCAGGACUGGUGUGUCCUAUCGUCAUCUCCUCUCCUUGUGUCGUGUGGUUGUGAGCUGCCUGGUGUCUUACUGCCUCCGGGGGUUUCACAGUGACAAUGAUGGGGGGGUAUGCUGCCUUAUUACCCUCCUCUGUCAUGAUUUGUGACAGAUUAUACGGGCAACCAAGGUUGGUUACACAACCACACACUGGACUCUUGAGCAUAAUUUGAUUGAUUUCUAUCUUGUAUAAUGCCUUGUUACCUACUGCCACUGUAAACGGGGAGGACAGUAACGCUCACUUAGCAGGGUCAGUCCGAGACAAGACAGAGAGCGUGCCCGUGUGCUGAGACAGGC